CGAGACUUUGGGCAUUAUAGUGUAUUGAUUCUAGAUCUGUUACUAGCAGCAAGUGCUUAGCCUUAUGCCUAUCCCACGCAUGCUUAAACAAUCCUUUACUGUGUUAACCUCUAUCACUUCAGCUGGAAGGCUAUUCCAUGCAUCCACUACCCUCUCAGUAAUGUAAUACUUCCUGAUAGUAUUUUUAUUUAAACCUUUGUCCCUCUAUUUUUAAGACUAUGUCCUCUU